rnacentral:lncRNA from 1 species
AUGAAUCUUCUUUGGCAAUUCGAUAGAAUAAUUCUAAUUGUGAAGUUCCUUAGGUCAAAUAUCCCCAAAGACCCCGGUAGCAUCAGUGCCACAAACCAGAGCUCCUUGUUUCCCUGUGUUAGAUCUAAUACAACACUAAAUGAAUUUCUUUCUAGUGUUACAGUUCCUGUCAACCUCUGGCCUCAAGGAAACUUGCCUAGAAGUAUGGAAUUCACAACCCUUCUCCUACAAGAUGUGCCCCAUUCUCCCUACCUACCAGGUGGAGAAAGGGGAAUGUUAGCUUUUGCACUAAGGACCUCUUUCUCAGAGCCAAGCUGCUCCACCUGCCCUUCAAAAUUCUGGAAUAUCCUGACAGAUCAAGCACACAGAAGAUUACAAGAUGUAUCAGUUGAAGACAUGACCACAAGGGCUAUGACUGAAAUCAAAUUGAAUGAUUCCCCUGAGACUGAAGAACAAGAGGGAAGUCUUCAAUCAUUUAGCAAAAAGUGGAAAGUUCAGAGAAGAAGUAUAUUUAGAGGAGACGUUAUUCUGGUUUAGAUAGAUUAAGUUCAAGUGACUACAUCACAUUAAAGAGGAAAUGCCCAAUGGCAUUCAAGAAAUUAGGAAUGGAUAUAUAGAUGUAGGAAUUAUCUAUAGAGGGGAUACCUGAAUCAUAUGGGAGCAGAAGAGAUCAUCAAGGGAAAGAGCAAGGAAAGUAAGAAAAUAGGCUCCAGAAUAGAAUCCUCUGGCACACCCAUGCUCAGGGAGAGCAAGAUAAAUAGUGAAGCAAUAAUGAAGACUGGAAAGGCAAGGUCAUACAUGUAAAAAGAGAACCAGAAGGGAGCAGUGUCAUGGAGCCCAAGGGAACAGAAGCUUAAUUGAGGAGGAGAAGAGCAGUCCAUGUUAUUUAAAAAAACAAAACUUCACAGAAGUUUUAAAAAAUCAUUAAGGGGGAAACAAAACUAGUAGAUUUAAAGGUUGAAAAGUCCUUGGCAAAUUUGUAAAGAGCAAUUUCAUUCAAAGAAUGGAACUGGAAACCAGA